CGGGCGUCUUAACAUGCAAGUCGAACGAUUAAAGCACCUUCGGGUGUGUAUAAAGUGGCGAACGGCUGAGUAACACGUGGGCAACCUGCCCCUUUCAUUGGGAUAGCCACGGGAAACCGUGGAUAAUACCGAAUACUUCGAGACUUCCGCAUGGAAGACUCGAGAAAGCUCCGGCGGAGAGGGAUGGGCCCGCGGCCUGUUAGCUUGUUGGUGGGGUAACGGCCUACCAAGGCAAUGAUGGGUAGCUGGGUUGAGAGACCGACCAGCCAGAUUGGGACUGAGACACGGCCCAGACUCCUACGGGAGGCAGCAGUGGGGAAUCUUGCACAAUGGGCGAAAGCCUGAUGCAGCGACGCCGCGUGCGGGAUGAAGGCCUUCGGGUUGUAAACCGCUUUCAGCAGGGACGAGGCGAAAGUGACGGUACCUGCAGAAGAAGCCCCGGCUAA
rnacentral:rRNA from 2 species